UGUCUUGACUUUUCCAACAUCAUGCAUUAAGGGAGUGAGCACACAGCAGGGCACUUCUUAUAAACUUCAUUUGUUCAAAACACAUCACAAUGAGCGACUUGUAUAUGUCUUCCCUUUUACUCCAUCACCGUAGCUCAAAAUAACAUCAGUUUUUUUUUUUUAGGGGGUGGGGGGGUUCUGCUUUUGUCAGUCUGUAUUUGUGCAUCACAAGUUUAGGGAGAAGUUUCUGUUCGAUACAAUUUUCAAUGACUUAGGUGUAGAUUCUUUUACUUUCCAAUAUCAUUAGUACGAUCUCAUGAUUCUUCUUCUGUCUUUUGCAGUGGGUACUUUCACCAAAAUAUUUCAAUUUCCCAUUUCCAAUUACACUUACCAUGAUACAUAUGGGCUUUUCAGGCUUAGUAGCUUUCGUUCUUAUCCGUGUGUUCAAGGUUGUAUCACCUGUCAAGAUGACUCUUGAAAUAUAUGCGACGUGUGUUAUUCCAAUCAGCGCUUUCUUCGCUGCAAGUCUUUGGUUUGGCAACACUGCUUAUCUAUUCAUUUCUGUGGCCUUCAUCCAGAUGCUCAAAGCUCU